rnacentral:rRNA from 1 species
GACAACUAUUUAUCUAUAAGUCUUGUCUAAAUUACGUGCCAGCAGACGCGGUAAUACGUAGAAGACUAGUGUUAUUCAUCUUUAAUGGGUUUAAAGGGUACCUAGACGGAAAAUCAAGCCAAAUAAAGGGACUAAUAUUCUAGAGUUUUAUAAAAGAAGAUGGAAUUUUCGGAGUAGAGUUGAAAUUCAGUUAUACCGUGAAGACUGGUAACGGCGAAGGCAAUCUUCUAUGUAAAAACUGACGUUGAGGGACGAAGCCUAGGGUAACGAUAAGGAUUAGAGACCCUAAUAGUCCUAGGAGAAAAUUAUGAAUGUCAUAAGCUAGAUUAUUUUAGUUUAUAAAUGAAAGUGUAAGCAUUCCACCUCAUGAGUAAAGCGGCAACGCUCAAAUUGAAAUCAUUAGACCGUUUCUGAAACCAGUAGUGAAGUAUGUUAUUUAAUUCGAUGAUCCGCGAAUAACCUUACCACAAUUUGAAUAUUUUACAAGUGCUGCACGGCUGUCUUUAGCUAAUGUCGUGAGAUUUGGUUAACUCCUCUAAUUAGCGCAAGCCCUUGCUUUAUUUAUUUUUUUAUAAAGUAGUUCACCAAUAUAUCAGUACAGAUAAUAGGGAUUAAGACAAGUCAUCAUG